rnacentral:rRNA from 1 species
UACGUAGGGUGCGAGCGUUAAUCGGAAUUACUGGGCGUAAAGCGUGCGCAGGCGGUUUGAUAAGACAGGCGUGAAAUCCCCGAGCUUAACUUGGGAAUGGCGCUUGUGACUGUCAGGCUAGAGUAUGUCAGAGGGGGGUAGAAUUCCACGUGUAGCAGUGAAAUGCGUAGAGAUGUGGAGGAAUACCGAUGGCGAAGGCAGCCCCCUGGGACGUCACUGACGCUCAUGCACGAAAGCGUGGGGAGCAAACAGG